rnacentral:rRNA from 1 species
UUGAACGCUGGCGGCAGGCCUCACACAUGCAAGUCGAACGGUAACAGGAAACAGCUUGCUGUUUCGCUGACGAGUGGCGGACGGGUGAGUAAUGUCUGGGAAACUGCCUGAUGGAGGGGGAUAACUACUGGAAACGGUAGCUAAUACCGCAUAACGUCGCAAGACCAAAGAGGGGGACCUUCGGGCCUCUUGCCAUCGGAUGUGCCCAGAUGGGAUUAGCUAGUAGGUGGGGUAACGGCUCACCUAGGCGACGAUCCCUAGCUGGUCUGAGAGGAUGACCAGCCACACUGGAACUGAGACACGGUCCAGACUCCUACGGGAGGCAGCAGUGGGGAAUAUUGCACAAUGGGCGCAAGCCUGAUGCAGCCAUGCCGCGUGUAUGAAGAAGGCCUUCGGGUUGUAAAGUACUUUCAGCGGGGAUGAAGGGAGUAAAGUUAAUACCUUGGCUCAUUGACGUUACCCGCAGAAGAAGCACCGGCUAACUCCGUG